UACAGAGGUCUCAAGCGUUGUUCGGAAUUACUGGGCGUAAAGGGUGCGCAGGCCGCGCGGGCAGUCAAUUGUGUAAUUCAGGGGCUCAACCUCUGGACUGCGCUUGAUACUUCCGUGCUAGAGCUUUGGAGAGGGUAGCAGAAUUCAUGGUGUAGCAGUGAAAUGCGUAGAUAUCAUGAGGAAUACCAGAGGCGAAGGCGGCUACCUGGACAAUUGCUGACGCUCAGGCACGAAAGCGUGGGGAGCAAAAGGG
rnacentral:rRNA from 1 species